AGAGUUUGAUCAUGGCUCAGGACGAACGCUGGCGGCGUGCCUAAUGCAUGCAAGUCGCACGCGCCGCCUUCGGGCGGUGAGUGGCGCACGGCUGAGGAUCACGUGGGAACAUGCCUCCUUGUGGGGGACAACAGCGCGAAAGCGCUGCUAAUCCCGCAUACGCUCGGCAACGAGGAAAGCCGUAAGGCGCAGGGAGAGUGGCCCGCGGCCCAUCAGGUCGUUGGUGGGGUAAUGGCCUACCAAGCCGAUGACGGGUAGCUGGUCUGUGAGGACAGACAGCCAGACUGGGACUGAGACACGGCCCAGACUCCUACGGGAGGCAGCAGCAAGGAAUUUUCGUCAAUGGGCGCAAGCCUGAACGAGCAACGCCGCGUGGAGGAUGACGGCCUUCGGGUUGUAAACUCCUUUUGGGGGGGACGAUAAUGACGGUACCCCUUGAAUAAGGCUCGGCUAACUCUGUGCCAGCAGCCGCGGUAAUACAGAGGAGCCAAGCGUUGUCCGGAUUGACUGGGCGUAAAGCGCACGCAGGCGGUUGGGCGCGUGGGGUGUGAAAUCUGGCCGCUUAACGCCAGGCGCCAUCCCAUACGGCACAACUGGAGGGCUGCAGAGGUCGAUGGAAUUGCCGGUGUAGUGGUGAAAUGCGUAGAGAUCGGCAGGAACACCCAGGGGGAAACCAGUCGACUGGGCAGCACCUGACGCUGAGGUGCGAGAGCGUGGGGAGCGAACCGGAUUAGAUACCCUAGUAGUCC
rnacentral:rRNA from 1 species